rnacentral:rRNA from 1 species
CCUACGGGCGGCAGCAGUGGGGGAUAUUGCACAAUGGGGGAAACCCUGAUGCAGCGACGCCGCGUGUGGGAAGACGGUCCUCUGGAUUGUAAACCACUGUCCCCAGGGACGAAGAUGACGGUACCUGGGGAGGAAGCUCCGGCUAACUACGUGCCAGCAGCCGCGGUAAUACGUAGGGAGCAAGCGUUGUCCGGAAUUACUGGGUGUAAAGGGAGCGUAGGCGGGAUGGCAAGUUGGGUGUUAAAUCUACCGGCUCAACUGGUAGUCGCACUCAAAACUGCUAUUCUUGAGUGAAGUAGAGGCAGGCGGAAUUCCUAGUGUAGCGGUGAAAUGCGUAGAUAUUAGGAGGAACACCAGUGGCGAAGGCGGGUUCCUGGACAUUAACUGACGCUGAGGCACGAAGGCCAGGGGAGCGAAAGGGAUUAGAUACCCGAGUAGUC